rnacentral:rRNA from 1 species
AAGGCUUGACAUGUAUUGCUAAGCACGUGAAAGCGUGUGACCCUUCGGGGACCUUACACAGGUGCUGCAUGGCCGUCGUCAGCUCGUGUCGUGAGAUGUUUGGUUAAGUCCAGCAACGAGCGCAACCCCUGUGAAUAGUUGCCAGCACGUAAUGGUGGGGACUCUAUUCAGACUGCCCGGGUCAACCGGGAGGAAGGUGGGGAUGACGUCAGGUCAGUAUGGCCCUUACGCCUUGGGCUGCACACGUACUACAAUGCUCAGUACAAUGAGAACCGAUCCCGCGAGGAGGAGGAAAUCUGCAAAACUGGGCCCAGUUCGGAUUGGAGGCUGCAACUCGCCUCCAUGAAGUUGGAAUCGCUAGUAAUGGCACAUCAGCUACGGUGCCGUGAAUACGUUCCGCGGGUCU